rnacentral:rRNA from 1 species
GAAUAAGCGUCGGCUAACUACGUGCCAGCAGCCGCGGUAAGACGUAGAACGCGAGCGUUAUCCGGAUUACUGGGCGUAAAGCGCCUGUAGGCGGCUUUGUAAGUUGGGCGUGAAAGCCCCGUGCUUAACGCGGGGAGGCCGUUCAAUACUGCGGAGCUAGAGUACGGCAGAGGGGAGUGGAAUUCCUGGAGUAGCGGUAAAAUGCGCAGAUAUCAGGAGGAACACCAGUGGCGAAGGCGGCUCCCUGGGCCGAGACUGACGCUCAGAGGCGAAAGCUAGGGGAGCGAACAGGAUUAGAGACCCUGGUAGUCCUAGCCCUAAACGAUGGAUGCUAGGUGUGGGGACGAGGAGUUUCCGUGCCGGAGCAAACGCGAUAAGCAUCCCGCCUGGGGACUACGGCCGCAAGGUUAAAACUCAAACGAAUUGACGGGGGCCCGCACAAGCAGCGGAGCGUGUGGUUUAAUUCGAUGCUACACGAAGAACCUUACCUGGGUUUGACAUGUAGGUGGUAGCGAGGCGAAAGCUGAGCGACCCUUCGGGGAGCCUACACAGGUGCUGCAUGGCUGUCGUCAGCUCGUGCCGUGAGGUGUCGGGUUAAGUCCCGUAACGAGCGCAACCCUUGCUCCUAGUUAUACGUGUCUAGGGGGACUGCCGGCGGGAAGCCGGAGGAAGGUGGGGAUGACGUCAAGUCAGCAUGGCCCUUAUGUCCAGGGCUACACACACGCUACAAUGGCCAGUACAAAGGGUAGCGAAGCCGCGAGGUGGAGCGAAUCUCAGCAAAGCUGGUCGUAGUUCGGAUUGCAGGCUGCAACCCGCCUGCAUGAAGCUGGAGUUGCUAGUAACCGCGCGUCAGCUAUAGUGCGGUGAAUACGUUCCCGGGCCUUGUACACACCGCCCGUCACGUCAUGGGAGUCGGUAACGCCUGAAGGCGGUAGCUUGACCUGAUAAAGGGGAGCGCUGUCGAGGGCGGGACUGGCCACUGGGACGAAGUCGU